UACGAAGGGGGCUAGCGUUGCUCGGAAUUACUGGGCGUAAAGCGCAUGUAGGCGGCCAAGCAGGUCGGAUGUGAAAUCCCUCGGCUCAACCAAGGAAGUGCAUUCGAAACCGCAUGGCUGGAGUCCCGGAGAGGAAGGUGGAAUUCUCGGUGUAGAGGUGAAAUUCGUAGAUAUCGAGAGGAACACCGGUGGCGAAGGCGGCCUUCUGGACGAGGACUGACGCUGAGAUGCGAAAGCGUGGGGAGCAAACAGG
rnacentral:rRNA from 1 species